UACGAAGGGUGCAAGCGUUACUCGGAAUUACUGGGCGUAAAGCGUGCGUAGGUGGUGAGUUAAGUCUGUCGUGAAAGCCCCGGGCUCAACCUGGGAAUGGCGAUGGAUACUGGCUCGCUAGAGUGCGGUAGAGGAGAGUGGAAUUCCCGGUGUAGCAGUGAAAUGCGUAGAUAUGUGGAGGAACACCGAUGGCGAAGGCAGCCCCCUGGGUUAACACUGACGCUCAGGCACGAAAGCGUGGGGAGCAAACAGG
rnacentral:rRNA from 1 species